GUGAACUCAAACCUUCAGACGUGAAGCUGGAAAUGAAUUUCCUUGGCUUCGAUGUCUCCAUCUCAAAAAUGACUGUAUUUUUGGGAAGGUUGCUUCAGAGUCCACGUUCUAUUGGCCAUUCCACUGAUUCCGCAUCUCCUUGACAAAUGAAUCUUGGGCCAAAAGUUCAUUGUGGGGACGCUGUUCAGUAGUUCCAUGAGAGCAGGAAGCAGAUCUAUCUUACUGAGGACACUCCUGGUGCCAAACUAUCUGGGGAAGAGGAAACCAAGAAUCCAGUGCAGUCUUAGAAGAUGGGGGAGUUGCUAAUGGAAGGAACCAGGUCUCUGAAAGACUUCAUAGAACACAGUACCACACUUUGUGACAUCCCCUGACAACCUCAUUAGACUGUGACAUAGGCAAGAAAUAAAUCUUGGUUGUGUUUGCCCCUGAAAUUCCAGGGCUGUUUGUUACAAUGGUUAACCUCUUCUGACAAAUUUCAUAAAAUUCCAUUUACCCUCGCUUUUCCUCACUACAUAUUAUUCAGUUUAAGAUUCGGUUCACUGUCCUCCAGGAAGCCUUCCUUGACUUCCCUGUGGCUGGCUUUUGUGUUCCCA
rnacentral:lncRNA from 1 species